GGGGAGGGCAUAGGAGAGGGUUGAUAUAAAAUGCAAUUACAGCCUCUUAUGCUUUCCAAAGUGGGGGAUGAUUCAAUGAUUCCUGACUGGUCCACAGCCAUAUAUCAAUUGAGGUUAUAAUACUAAUUUGAAUUGCAAAUCUCUGAAAAGAAGGGGACAAGCUAAGGAGAUAAAAUUUAACAGGCCUCUUCCUCCUGCUUGCCACCUCUCAGUCACAAGACGGCUGCUGCGACUCAGGCUCAUGUCCCAAUUCAAGGCAGCAAGAAGGCCAUGGAGCGGCACCUGCCAGCUCCUGUCUCCCCAUCCCCUAGAAUCGUUGACAAAAUGAGUGACACUGCCCUGGGAUCUGGGUCUCUGGUUGAGGCCUUGGAGCUACUGCCUCUGCCUGUGAACUCACCCAUCAUCGCUAACAGGUUGCUCCACAGCCUACAGAUCUCAAUAUUUCGCUAGCACAAAACCCAAGCGGCCAGGCACGGUGGCUCACGCCUGUAAUCCCAGCACUUUGGGAGGCCGAGGCGGGUGGAUCACUUGAGGUCAGGAGUUCGAGACCAGCCUGACCAACAUGGAGAAACCCCGUCUCUACUAAAAAUACAAAA
rnacentral:lncRNA from 1 species